rnacentral:rRNA from 1 species
CCGGGUCUUGACAUCCACAGAACCUUCCCGAGACAGAUGGGUGCCUUGGGGAGAUAUGAGACAGGUGCUUCAUGGGGGUAGUCCACAGGUGUCGUGUGAUGUUGGUUUUAGUCCCGUAACGAGCGCAACCCUUAUUCUUAGUUGCCACCCCGUAAUGGUGGGAACUCUAAGGAGACCAGUUGGGACAAACCGGAAGAAGGCCGGAUGAAGCCAAGUCAUCAUGGCCCUUACGUCAAGGCCUACACACCUUUUCCAAUUGGGGGUACAAAGGGUUACAAUCCGGGGGCAGGAGCUAAUCCCAAAAACCCGUCUCAGUCCGGAUUGGAGUCUGCAACUCGACUCCAUGAAGUCGGAAUCGCUAGUAAUCGC